CCGACAUUUCGAAUUUAUGUGUGCCAAUUUGAUAACAACAACAAUUUCUACGACGUGUGAUAUACAUAGCUGUAAAAAGUGCAAAAUACAGGGAGGAUGGAUUCAUAAUAUAUCAUGGAACAUCGGAUGAAAUAGAAGAAUUAAUUCGUCUG